CAGUGUUACAACAUUUUUAGAAUUUGUUUAGCAGGCUUUCUGGUCUAUCCUGGAAAGCCACC
rnacentral:snRNA from 1 species